AACGAACGCUGGCGGCAGGCCUAACACAUGCAAGUCGAGCGGACCUUUCGGGGUCAGCGGCGGACGGGUGAGUAACGCGUGGGAAUAUGCCCUUCUCUACGGAAUAGUCCUGGGAAACUGGGGGUAAUAUCGUAUACGCACUUUGGGGGAAAGAUUUAUCGGGGAAGGAUUAGCCCGCGUUGGAUUAGGUAGUUGGUGGGGUAAUGGCCUACCAAGGCGACGAUCCAUAGCUGGUUUGAGAGGAUGAUCAGCCACACUGGAACUGAGAGACGGCGCCGACACGGAAGGGAGGAAGCGGUGGGGAGUAUUGCAGAAGGGGCGCAAGGCUGAUGAAGAAAUGGGGAGUGGAUGAAGAAGGCUGUCGGGUGGGAAAGUAAUUUAGGCGGGGAGGAAGGAAGUAAAGGUAAUACCGUGGCGCAAGGACGUGACCCGCAGAAGAAGAACAGGCGAACUCCGUG
rnacentral:rRNA from 1 species